UGGGGAAUAUUGGACAAUGGGCGAAAGCCUGAUCCAGCCAUGCCGCGUGUGUGAAGAAGGUCUUCGGAUUGUAAAGCACUUUAAGUUGAGAGGAAGGGCAGUAAGCGAAUACCUUGCUGUUUUGACGUUACCGACAGAAUAAGCACCGGCUAACUCUGUGCCAGCAGCCGCGGUAAUACAGAGGGUGCAAGCGUUAAUCGGAAUUACUGGGCGUAAAGCGCGCGUAGGUGGUUCGUUAAGUUGAAUGUGAAAGCCCCGGGCUCAACCUGGGAACUGCAUCCAAAACUGGCGAGCUAGAGUAGAGCAGAGGAUGGUGGAAUUUCCUGUGUAGCGGUGAAAUGCGUAGAUAUAGGAAGGAACACCAGUGGCGAAGGCGACCACCUGGGCUCAUACUGACACUGAGGUGCGAAAGCGUGGGGAGCAAACAGG
rnacentral:rRNA from 1 species